CCUACGGGGGGCUGCAGUCGAGAAUAUUCGACAAUGGACGAAAGUCUGAUCGAGCGACGCCGCGUGGUGGAUGAAGUCCUUCGGGACGUAAACACCUUUUAUGAACAAGAAAUUUUUGAUCAGUUCAUGAAUAAGAGGCUGCUAACUCUGUGCCAGCAGCAGCGGUAAUACAGAGGCCUCAAGCGUUAUCCGGAAUUAUUGGGCGUAAAGCGUGUCUAGGUGGUUAUGUUAGUCUUUUGUUAAAACCCGCGGCUUAACUGCGGAUCUGCGAAAGAAACGGCAUAACUAGAGAAUGUGAGAGGAGAGCGGAACUCUAAGUGUAGGGGUGAAAUCCGUUGAUAUUUAGGGGAACACCAAAGGCGAAGGCAGCUCUCUGGCGCAUUUCUGACACUCACACACGAAAGCGUGGGUAGCGAAUGGGAUUAGAUACCCUUGUAGUC
rnacentral:rRNA from 1 species